AAACACUCUACAUCGUAGCCCGAUGGGAACCGAACUAUCGGACUGAUUUGUUGCCGUCGAUCUUUGCCCCAUCGUAGGAUCCAUAGCCACAGCAGAUUGGUUCUCACCUUUGGAGAAAAAGGGUCUGGUUCAACACGAUGGCCACAAUCACCGGCCACCGGGAUUUCGCUGCCAGUUACAGAUCUAGUUCCUCAAUUCUUUCCCAAAUUGUCUCUCCCCACCUCGCGGACGCUGCUUCCCCACCGCGCCGACGCUGCUCUUCCGAACGCACCCCGCCCUCCCAUCACCACUCCGGCCUGCACCUCUCUUUGAUCGACUCCUCGUCAAGCAAGUAGGCCGUUCCACCGCGGGGAAACAUCGUCAGUGUAUCCCUGAUUGCCGGCGGCCGGUGCAGUAGGUUCCGAGGCGGAUUUGCUUUGCUCCGAUCAGGUUCAGCUAUUUCCUUCCUGGAUCAUGGUGACGCUUCAUCCAAAUUGAUCAUACACUGCUGGGCUUUUCUCUGUCCAUACCGAUUUGAUCCCUACACCGUUCUGCUGAAGUAUGAAGCACAACCACCAUCUGAAUAAAUCAUGACCACAAAGGAAGCAUGGUCUGCCUCUAAAGAAGCACAACCACAUUAUCAAGGAAGCACGGCCAGCAUUAGAAUGUAACAUGACCACGAUGAGAAAGUCGAGGUUGAGGUCACAUGGAUAACAAGGACAAGGUUAUGCUUGUCAACAUCUCCUCUUUGAAGGAACCAGUGUUGGGCUAUGGCGAUUACGCAUCACAGGGGCUGCAAGCAAAGACAUCGGCACGUUGGCAGCGUCGUCAUACGUUGUAUGAAAUUAGGAAGCAACUGAAAUUUGUUUGAAGCACAAGAAUGGAAUCAAUAAUUUUUUGUCCAUGGGAGCAUCAUUCUUUGUAAAUGGAAGCAAAAAAAAUUUGUACAUGAAAGUUGAAAGCGCAAAUUUCAUUUGUAUUUCUUCGCAGCACAUUCCUAAUUCUUAUGAAUUAUGUAUAGUCAUGAUAGUGGUUC